rnacentral:lncRNA from 10 species
ACUUGGCCUCCAGAAACUUGCCUUUCAUUGGUAUUCAACCCUAGCAAGAACAGAUGAUAAUUUAAUCAACCAUGAUGUCAAUGCAUGCCAUAGAUUACUAGUGGCAAAGAGUUCAGCUCUCAAUUCAAACCAAUCCAACACUAACAACAAAUCAAAUCAAUCCCAGAAUGUCAGAAUUUGAGAAUCUGUUUCCUAUGACCACACCUAGUAUCAAGUGCUAGUAUCAGCCAGAGUCCAGUCAUAAAAAUAGAGUGUAUUUAAUAUUAGGAACUUGUAAUAAAGAUAUAAGAAGACUGAAAGAGCAAAAAAGUGGAUGCCAAAUAUUAGAACUACAGACAGCAGCUACCUUUCUACUACCUAUUGCUACAGGCAUGACACAUUCAGGAACUAGAAACAGGAAAUAAUUCCCCCUCCCACCUUCCAGUCCCCAAGGCCUUCCCAUUUACUGAACUUAACAGGAAG